ACGCAACGCGAAGAACCUUACCAGGGCUUGACAUCCCCUCGACCGCGUAUGAAAUACGUUUUCACCCUCAGGUGACAGGGAGGACAGGUGGUGCAUGGUUGUCGUCAGCUCGUGUCGUGAGAUGUUGGGUUAAGUCCCGCAACGAGCGCAACCCUUGUCCUUAGUUGCCAGCAUUCAGUUGGGCACUCUAAGGAGACUGCCGGUGUCAAACCGGAGGAAGGUGGGGAUGACGUCAAGUCCUCAUGGCCCUUAUGUCCAGGGCUACACACGUGCUACAAUGGCCGGUACAAAGGGGCGCAAGACCGCGAGGUGGAGCAAAUCCCAAAAAACCGGUCUCAGUUCGGAUUGGAGUCUGCAACUCGACUCCAUGAAGUUGGAAUCGCUAGUAAUCGCGUAUCAGCAUGACGCGGUGAAUACGUUCCCGGGCCUU
rnacentral:rRNA from 1 species